UUUUAUCUUCCUUUAGUAUUAUAUUAAUAUUGCAUACCAUUUAAAAUUCCUUUUUUUUUUAAAUUGGGAUUUAAACUCAGGUAAAGCUACCACUGAUCUACAUUACAGCCCUUUUUAUUUUUAUCUUAUUUUUUAUAUUUAUUUUUUUAGUUCCAGGUGGACACAGUAUCUUUAUUUUAUUUUUAUGUAGUGCUGAGAUUCGAACCCCGUGCCUCUUGCAUGCUAGGCGAGCAAGAUACCACUUGAGCCACAUCCCCAGUCCCCUUUUUAUUUUUUAAGAUAAGAUCUCACUGUUACUUGGGCCUUGCUAAAUUGCUGAGGUUGGCCUUGAACUUGGGAUCCUCCUGCCUCAGCCUCUCAAGUCACUGGGAUUACAGGUGUGCACCACCACGCCUGGCUUGGCAUUUGCCUUUUAAUGUCCACAGUGGGCAGGGAAGUCCUGGCAUCACAGGCCGAAGCUGGAAUUCAGGCUCCCAGGACAUCUGAGUAUGGGAGGGGGGAGUCUAAUGUCUGUAAGGAAUAUAAAUUUCCUUUCUAGAAAGCAUAAUCACUUUAUUAACAACUACAUACAGUGUCCCUGGAUCUCUGCCAGUCGUUGCCAGGAAGUGAAGAACGAUAAGAGUCCUUGCUUCCCCGAAUGCUGAAGUACAACACCAGAGAAGCACGCCCAGGCGAACGCGGAGUGGAGAGUGGAAGGCUUUAUUAAAGGAUAGCAGAAAAGACUUCCCCCAGGAGGAAGAAGGGGACCCAAAAGGUGAAAUCCGUGCAAAGGGGAGGUCUUCUCCCUUUUAUAUCUAAGGUCUUCCCUUGUCUUCCCACAUUCCGGUCCUUUGUGUCCCUCUAUCCUGCUUGUGGUGGGGGAUGCAGGUGGGAAGGCCCAAAGGUGACAAAGAGGUGGCCUGAUGGGGCGGGGAGAAGAGAUCUGGGCAGCAAGGGCCUAGGGUGGUUUGAUUAGCAUCUCUUAACUGCUUCAUUAACAGUUCUUUAGGACAGACUUGGGCCUUGAGGACUUUAACGUUUCAAUUUCCCAGUGGUAGUUCUGAUUUUCCCAGGCUCGGAUCAGACCCUAUUUUCUUUAUUAGACCGAUUUACCUAACUACACUAACUACCUAUCGUUAAAUCUGGCUUCACUCUCCCCUCUAUCCCCUCUGUUCCAACUGAUACCCCCAGUUACCAGCGACAAGUCCUGCUUCUUCACAUGUUGGAGUGUAGCACUGGAGAAACACACCAAGGCAAGCAUAUAAAGCAGGGUUUGUUUAAAAAGAGGUAACAUAGACUUCUCCCAGGAGGGAGAAGGGGGCCAUAGCUGGUAUCCUGGUAUCUCAAGCAGCAAGGGGGGUUUGCCUUUUUAAUAUGUCCUAGGCUUCCCUAUUUCUCUCCUUCCUGUGUCGGUGACUAGGCCCAGGAGAUGCCCAGGUGGGUUGGCCAAAAGGAGAGAGAAGCAGAUGGGGUGCAGGGGCCAAGUGGGAGUGAUCUGGGCGGGAAAGGGGCGUAAUUAACACCCCCCUUGUGGGGAGGGACUAUCCCUGAGACAGGUUACCUUAGCAACAGUUUGGAGCAGGGGCAGGUUAUCUUCAAGAGGGUGGAAGAAUUUCAAUUCCCCCAUUCUCUGGCUCCACCCUUACCUCUCUGCCCGGCUAAUUCUGGCUUCACAACCUCACUAACCUCCUUGCUCUUUCUGGACUUUGCCAGGCGCACUAUUUUAUUUCAGACACCUAGCACAGUGCCUGGUACACAGUAAAUUUUGUCCCUUGCAUGACUCUCCUACUGAAGCCAGAUUUACCGAAAGGUAGUUAAUGUAGUUAGGUAAAUCGGGCCUAAUAUUGAGUAAGAUUAAAAAAAUGGAGACCAUUAUCGAAUGGAGUCGGAGAAACCAGAGCAGCAUUUCAUUAACAUUAAAUUGAAAUGUUAAUGUCCCCAAGGCCCUGAAACCGUCCUAAGGAACUGUUCAAGAAGCAGCUCCCAGCAAACAGGGAGGUGCUAAUCAAAAACCGCCCUAUUUUGCUACUGUGUUACUUGACCAUUGUUCUAAUAAGUGGAGUUUUUUAAAAUAUUGAUUUUUUUUUUUUUAGUUGUAGUUGGACACCAUACCUUUUUAAAAUAUAUAUAUAUAUAUUUAUUUUUAUGUGGUGCUGAGGAUGGAAGCCAAGGCUGCUCAUGUGCUAGACUAGUGCUCUACCGCACGCCCUGGGAGCCACAACUCCAGCCCAAGUGGAGUUUUAAAAUCUCCAGCACUUGGAGAUCUUUUGUUCUAUUGAGGGUUUUGUGGGGCUGCUAUUCUUUGUAACAAGGUUUGGUUGAAAGAUAAGAACAUUGGAUGUACGCAGGUGCACAAGUGCUUUCCUUAGAGCCAGAAAGCUUGUAGUGAACCCUGCACCUGCAAAACACGAUCCUUUCAAACAAAGGAGAGUGGGAAGUGACUAUCUCUCAGUCUCACCAAUUGGUUCAAACCAGCUCCAAGAAAACAGAUUCAAAUUAGGAACCCGAACCCCACCCAGAGCCAAUUCUUUUUGAACAAUAACUUUUAUCAAUGCCUCAGGAACAUUAGGAGCUCAGUUCUAUUUUAAGUAGCAAGGUUGGAGAUUAACGCUGUGGUCAAGUUUAAUAGUGUAAUUAAUUAAUUAAUUAAUUAUAUUCUACCUUAUUAUUUUAAAAGAUCGUGAGGGUUUUUUUUUUUUGUUUGUUUGUUUAUUUUUUUUUUACAGUUUUAAAUACAGUGACAAUGAAAAAUUUAAGAAGAGAGUUGGAAGCCCAUUAUGUCCAAGUGGGAACUGUUUGCAUAUGGAUAAAUAUUUUAAUCAUGAAAUUUGACUCUGGGCUUCUCAGCAUUCAGGGUCAAAACAGGAAUGGUGGACCAUAUAAAUCUCAUUAGAAGAAG
rnacentral:lncRNA from 1 species